UGAAUACGAGAUGCUACGGCGUCGAAGCAGUCUAUGUCAUACUUCCAAGAAAAGCUCGCACUGUCAUAAACAAAUAAUGCCUGUACCAUAACCGACACAGGUGGGUAGGUAGAGUAUACUAAGGGGCGCGAGAUAACUCUCUCUAAGGAACUCGCAAAAUGACUCCGUAACUUCGGGAGAAGGAGUGCCUUAUUUAUAAGGUUGCAAUAACAAGAUCCAAGCAACUGUUUAUCAAAAACACAGGUCUCCGCUAAGUCGUAAGACGAUGUAUGGGGGCUGACGCCUGCCCAGUGCCAGAAGGUUAAAGAAGUUGGUUAGCAUUCGCGAAGCUGAUAACUGAAGCCCUGGUGAACGGCGGCCGUAACUAUAACGGUCCUAAGGUAGCGAAAUUCCUUGUCGGGUAAGUUCCGACCCGCACGAAAGGCGUAAUGAUUUGGAUACUGUCUCGGAGAGGGGCUCGGUGAAAUAGACUUGUCUGUGAAGAUGCGGACUACCUGCACCAGGACAGAAAGACCCUAUGAAGCUUUACUGUAACUUGAGAUUGAAAUUGGACUUUACUUGCGCAGUAUAGGUGGGAGGCGUUGAUAAUAUUCUUGCGGGAUUAUUUGAGCCAUCAGUGAGAUACCACUCUUGUAAUGUUAGAUUUCUAACUUUGUAUCAUUAUCUGGUCAAAGGACAGUUUCAGGCGGGCAGUUUGACUGGGGCGGUCGCCUCCUAAACGGUAACGGAGGCGCACAAAGGUUUCCUCUGAACGGGUAGAAAUCGUAUCUAGAGUGUAAAGGCAUAAGGAAGCUUGACUGUGAGACCUACAAGUCGAGCAGGGACGAAAGUCGGUCUUAGUGAUCUGACGGUGCUGAGUGGAAAGGCCGUCACUCAACGGAUAAAAGUUACUCUAAGGAUAACAGGCUGAUCUCCCCCAAGAGUUCACAUCGACGGGGAGGUUUGGCACCUCGAUGUCGGCUCAUCGCAUCCUGGGGCGGUAGUACGUCCCAAGGGUUGGGCUGUUCGCCCAUGAAAGCGGUACGCGAGCUGGGUUCAGAACGUCGUGAGACAGUUCGGUCCAUAUCCGGUGUAGGCGUUAGAAUAUUGAGAGGAGCCUUCUUUAGUACGAGAGGACCGAGAAGGACAUACCUCUGGUGUACCAGUUAUCGUGCCAACGGUAAACGCUGGGUAGCUAUGUAUGGAGUGGAUAACCGCUGAAAGCAUCUAAGUGGGAAGCCCACCUCAAGAUAAG
rnacentral:rRNA from 1 species